CUCAUGCUUCUCUCUCGCUCUCGCUCUCUGCCUGUCUGUGUCUUUCACUCUUUCUCUCUCUCCAUGAGAGGGUAAACCUUAACUGAAUUUGUGGGAUUGGCCUUAAUGAGGGAUGUAGAUAAGGACAUGUGUCAGAGAACUUCUACUACGACUGCAACUGAGCGUGAGCAAGUCUUUUCCAGAGUAGACCAAUGUUAGAGCCAUACGAUGCAAGCUUUCCUUCUGUUAAACAUUAGCCUGUAUCUGGCUGUUGGGAGCUUGGCCCAAUGACCUCACCCAUGCAGCUCACCACCUUUGAUGGAAGGCAAGAUAGCAGUGACCAGUUUCUACGACAUCGUGAUGGGAGUUGAAGACCCCUUCAUCCUUCCUGGCUAAGCAGAACAGCGACGGCACAUUGCCAAGUUACUUUGAUGUUUUAGAAUAUUAACAACAGUUAACAAAAUGUUAACACAAUUUUUUAAA